AUUGAACGCUAGCGGGAUGCCUUACACAUGCAAGUCGAACGGAGUGGCGAACGGGUGAGUAAUGUAACGGAACGUGCCCAGUAGCGGGGGAUAACUACGCGAAAGCGUAGCUAAUACCGCAUACUAUUGGAGCGGCCGAUAGCGGAUUAGCUAGUUGGUGGGGUAAAGGCUCACCAAGGCGACGAUCCGUAGCUGGUUUGAGAGGACGACAAGCCACACUGGGACUGAGACACGGACCAGACUCCUACGGAAGGAAGCAGUGGGGAAAAUUGGACAAUGGGGGGACCACUGCUCCGGCCAUCCCGCGUGUGCGAUGAAGGCCUUCGGGUUGUAAAGCACUUUUGGAAGGAAAGCGGUACCUCCAGAAUAAGCACCGGCUAACUACGUGCCAGCAGCCACGGUAAUAC
rnacentral:rRNA from 1 species